GACGAACGCUGGCGGCGUGCUUAACACAUGCAAGUCGAACGGAAAGGCCCUGCUUUUGUGGGGUGCUCGAGUGGCGAACGGGUGAGUAACACGUGAGUAACCUGCCCUUGACUUUGGGAUAACUUCAGGAAACUGGGGCUAAUACCGGAUAGGAGCUCCUGCUGCAUGGUGGGGGUUGGAAAGUUUCGGCGGUUGGGGAUGGACUCGCGGCUUAUCAGCUUGUUGGUGGGGUAGUGGCUUACCAAGGCUUUGACGGGUAGCCGGCCUGAGAGGGUGACCGGCCACAUUGGGACUGAGAUCCGGCCCAGACUCCUACGGGAGGCAGCAGUGGGGAAUAUUGCACAAUGGGCGGAAGCCUGAUGCAGCAACGCCGCGUGCGGGAUGACGGCCUUCGGGUUGUAAACCGCUUUCGCCUGGGACGAAGCGUGAGUGACGGUAAUGGGUAAAGAAGCACCGGCUAACUACG
rnacentral:rRNA from 1 species